ACUCCACGAAGUUGGAUUCGCUAGUAAUCNCGCAUCAGCCAUGGCGCGGUGAAUACGUUCCCGGGCCUUGUACACACCGCCCGUCAAGCCAUGGGAGCCGGGGGCGCCUGAAGUCCGGGACCGCGAGGACCGGCCUAGGGCGAAACUGGUAACUGGGGCUAAGUCGUAACAAGGUACC
rnacentral:rRNA from 1 species